CUGGAUUGUCCAAUAUGCUGAAGGCCACAGGGAUCGCUUUGAAGAUUUUCCAUGACCUCAACUUUGGAGUGUCUAAUGCUAUGCCAUUUUAACCUACAUACCAGAACCUGGACUCACAAACAGACGACAGAGGCCUGAAGCCAACUCACGUGCUAUCAUAUCGGGGGGGGGGGGUCAACUUUCUGCCUCACUCUUACAGGAAAUGGCGGCUUAUAGGGCAGAGAAGGGGAGUCUGGAAAAACAGGGAGGAGAAAAGAUUUCGCAGGGCCUGGGAAUGAGCACAAAGGAAAACACAGCUCAGACUCCAGAUGUGGAAGCACCCUGUACACACACACACACACACACACACACUCGUAUACACACAAAUAAAAUUACACAUAUACAAACACUCACAGAAAAGGAGGAGGUAAAAAGGGCUGUAAAAGCUGCUCUUGGAGCUCCGCUUGGCAUCUUGUGAUUGGUUGGUUCGUAGUUCCCGUGAGCUAAUUUCUUGGCAAGUCCACUGCACUGGGGAUCAUCCGCAAAGAUGGAUGGCAGUCUUUGGCAAACAGAAGAGAACAACACUGCAUACAAUUCAUUUACAAAGCACUAUAUGCCAAUUUACUAGGAUAUCUGCCUGGUCUAAUUGCCCACAGAUCGUCUUCUCAAGAUUACCUUGAGAACUGCUGCAUUACCACUGAAAUCGGAAAGCUUUCUUUUAAAUAAAUAUGCUCAAAAGUGGAAUAACUGAUAAAAACACGCACAAUUGGACAAGGUGAUCCUUUUUUCAAUUCAAGCACCUUUUAGCUGCCUUGGGGGGGAUGAGUGCGGAUGUUUGCGCUUGCAUUGACAGUGAAUUUUUGAUGUUUCUUGUUUACCUGAUGUGUUUCUAUUGCUGUUUUGUGAACUCAGUUUCAUAUACUGUAUAAUUUGACAGUUUUUUUUUUUUUACAAUGUAAUGUGUUAUAUGUAAUUUUGCAGGGCGACCGUGAAAAAGAGAGCCUGCUCUCAGUGGCCCUUGUACGUUUUAAAUAAAGGAUAA